AUGCUUGUAAAAGCAUUGACAUACAAAUCUGUUCUCACUAGUUAUGCCAACAGAAAGAUGAUAGAUUCUCCAAGUGAGGAGGAAUGGGAGAAGUCAAAAGCUAUUUGUGAGUUUCUAAAAGCUUUUGAAGAGCUUACUUUGAUCGUUUUAGCUCAUAGGAAGCCAACUUCACAUAAGUUUCUGCCAGUUGUGCUUUCUAUUCGCCAUGCAUUGAAAGAUCCGGGUUGGCAGACCUCUGAUGUGUUGAAGGAAUUGGCGGCAGUGAUGCAAACGAAGCUUGAUAAAUAUUGGGAUCCCGAGGAGAAGGAGAAUGCAGAUCCUAACCGUCGUAGAAAAAGCAAGGGCAUUGAGUUUAACCAGGAACUUGUCAUUGCUACAUUCCUGGAUCCAAGGAGGAAAGAAGAUUACUUGGAUUUCUUCUAUUGCAAGUUGUCUACUGACAGGGAGAAAAUUACAAAACAAGUGGAGAUUGCUUUAGAAUGGGUGAGAAAGUAUGUCAAGGAAUAUGAGCUACUUGCAGCGACAAGCACUGCACACUCGACACCUUCUAGUCAAGGCAAUACCAUUAUUGGAUCACCUGUUGCAGGGAAAAGGAAGUUGGAAGAAGAGUUUGCCCAGCACAAGUCUCGUCGGAGGUCACGUGUACACAAAUCCGAGCUUGAUGCAUACUUGGAAGAAGCAUCCGAGAAGGUCGGUGAUGACUUUGAUGUCUUGGGUUGGUGGAAGAGGCAUGGCGAAAAGUUUCCUAUAUUGGCAUCUAUGGCCCGUGACUUUCUUGCAAUUCCUUUGAGCACAGUGGCAUCUGGAUCAGCCUUUAGUUGUGGUAAGAGGAUACUAGGCGACAAGAGAAGCACUUUGAACCCUGAUAUGCUAGAAGUGCUUGUUUGUGCUAAAGAUUGGUUGUUCAAACCAAAGGAGGGUGAGUUAACCGCUUACAUUUUGGUUCUACUACUUGUGUAG
rnacentral:rRNA from 1 species